rnacentral:rRNA from 1 species
GACGAACGCUGGCGGCGUGCUUAACACAUGCAAGUCGAACGGAAAGGCCCUGCUUUUGUGGGGUGCUCGAGUGGCGAACGGGUGAGUAACACGUGAGUAACCUGCCCUUGACUUUGGGAUAACUUCAGGAAACUGGGGCUAAUACCGGAUAGGAGCUCCUACUGCAUGGUGGGGGUUGGAAAGUUUCGGCGGUUGGGGAUGGACUCGCGGCUUAUCAGCUUGUUGGUGGGGUAGUGGCUUACCAAGGCUUUGACGGGUAGCCGGCCUGAGAGGGUGACCGGCCACAUUGGGACUGAGAUACGGCCCAGACUCCUACGGGAGGCAGCAGUGGGGAAUAUUGCACAAUGGGCGGAAGCCUGAUGCAGCAACGCCGCGUGCGGGAUGACGGCCUUCGGGUUGUAAACCGCUUUCGCCUGUGACGAAGCGUGAGUGACGGUAAUGGGUAAAGAAGCACCGGCUAACUACGUGCCAGCAGCCGCGGUGAUACGUAGGGUGCGAGCGUUGUCCGGAUUUAUUGGGCGUAAAGGGCUCGUAGGUGGUUGAUCGCGUCGGAAGUGUAAUCUUGGGGCUUAACCCUGAGCGUGCUUUCGAUACGGGUUGACUUGAGGAAGGUAGGGGAGAAUGGAAUUCCUGGUGGAGCGGUGGAAUGCGCAGAUAUCAGGAGGAACACCAGUGGCGAAGGCGGUUCUCUGGGCCUUUCCUGACGCUGAGGAGCGAAAGCGUGGGGAGCGAACAGGCUUAGAUACCCUGGUAGUCCACGCUGUAAACGGUGGGUACUAGGUGUGGGGUCCAUUCCACGGGUUCCGUGCCGUAGCUAACGCUUUAAGUACCCCGCCUGGGGAGUACGGCCGCAAGGCUAAAACUCAAAGGAAUUGACGGGGCCCCGCACAAGCGGCGGAGCAUGCGGAUUAAUUCGAUGCAACGCGUAGAACCUUACCUGGGUUUGACAUGGAUCGGGAGUGCUCAGAGAUGGGUGUGCCUCUUUUGGGGUCGGUUCACAGGUGGUGCAUGGCUGCCGUCAGCUCGUGUCGUGAGAUGUUGGGUUAAGUCCCGCAACGAGCGCAACCCUUGUUCACUGUUGCCAGCACGUUAUGGUGGGGACUCAGUGGAGACCGCCGGGGUCAACUCGGAGGAAGGUGGGGAUGACGUCAAGUCAUCAUGCCCCUUAUGUCCAGGGCUUCACGCAUGCUACAAUGGCUGGUACAGAGAGUGGCGAGCCUGUGAGGGUGAGCGAAUCUCGGAAAGCCGGUCUCAGCUCGGAUUGGGGUCUGCAACUCGACCUCAUGAAGUCGGAGUCGCUAGUAAUCGCAGAUCAGCAACGCUGCGGUGAAUACGUUCCCGGG